rnacentral:rRNA from 1 species
UACGUAGGGUCCGAGCGUUGUCCGGAAUUACUGGGCGUAAAGAGCUCGUAGGUGGUUUGUCGCGUUGUUCGUGAAAACCUAAGGCUUAACCUUGGGCGUGCGGGCGAUACGGGCAGACUAGAGUACUGCAGGGGAGACUGGAAUUCCUGGUGUAGCGGUGGAAUGCGCAGAUAUCAGGAGGAACACCGAUGGCGAAGGCAGAUCUCUGGGCCGUAACUGACGCUGAGGAGCGAAAGCAUGGGGAGCGAACAGG